rnacentral:rRNA from 1 species
CAGUCGCCGCGGGAAUACGUAGGGUGCAAGCGUUAAUCGGAAUUACUGGGCGUAAAGCGUGCGCAGGCGGUUAUAUAAGACAGAUGUGAAAUCACCGGGCUCAACCUGGGAACUGCAUUUGUGACUGUAUAGCUAGAGUACGGCAGAGGGGGAUGGAAUUCCGCGUGUAGCAGUGAAAUGCGUAGAUAUGCGGAGGAACACCGAUGGCGAAGGCAAUCCCCUGGGCCUGUACUGACGCUCAUGCACGAAAGCGUGGGGAGCAAACAGGAUUAGAUACCCCCGGUAGUCCCUGUCUCUUAUA